rnacentral:lncRNA from 1 species
AUGCAUGUGUGGAUUUGUGUGUGUGUGCACCUAUGUAGAUGUGUGGGUGAGCCUGUGUGUAUGCAUGGGUAUGUGGGGGGGGUGUGGGUGUGCGUGUGUGUAUGCCCCAUGGAAACCACAGGCCAUGGGCGUUCAGAGUGUGAGCUCCUCUCCUGCCCAAAGAUGGCUCGCCUGGCUCUUGGCCGUGGCAUCAGACCCCGUGGUCGGCGUGCGGCUGACCCUCUGGAAGCCCUCGCCAUCUCCUGGGCACAGGGCUCUUUUUCAGAUCCCCUAGCGCUGGGCCGUGGGGCGUGGGUGGGCUGGCUCUGGCUGGGCCAGGGCUGUGGAGUGAGUCGAGGUCAGGGGCAGAGCACGGAGAAGCCACGUGGAAGCAGAAUGUUCUCUGGACGUGCUGACCGCCGGCCCCACGAGGGAGAGCGCAGCGUUGUAGUAAGUCCGCCGCGGAGGGACUUUGCAGUGUGGGACAGAACGGGCGCCCCUGGGCGCCGGGUCCUCUCUAAGCCUGGACGCCCAGCCUUGGCUCCAGGACGCCGGGGCCACCGCCAGGGCUGCGCAGACGCCCUCUGUGGCCUGUGCCCAGCAGCGCCCACCCUGACCCCAGAGAAACCUAGUGGAGAAGCCCUGCUGGCAGCCCUCUGCCCGCCCCAUCCCCUGAAGGUCAGAGUGGCGCGGGGCCACUUGGGACAUCGCUCUGACGUCAUCGCUCAGUCUGGCUCCGGGGAGUGCGAGCAGGGAACUUCUUCCAUCCCCCGGGGAUUCGCUUUGCCUUCCUGUUCGCCUUUGAAGGACAACACAGCCUCAGCCUGGGCGUGGACAGGAAGUGGACAUGGGCCUUGGCCAGAUCCACGGCGCUUCGCCAGGCCACUGCCUCUUUGCGCUUUGUCCUGUGUGUCCACGUUGAGUCACGCAGGCACCUGGGGCUGGCUUGCUUCCCGGCCAGCUCUCCGGCUCCUGCUGCCCUCAGGCUCAUUUGCUUUCUCCCUUUCUUCCCUCCCUGUGCCUGGCGGGUCCAGUUUGCAGGAGCUCGUUUCAAACUGUCCUAGGCCAACCAACCCCAAAGCAAACAGGGACAGCGGGGAGUGGGAGCGAAGCGCCGGCUCCACCCUGCCCUCUGGGCACGCUGGUGCCAGUUUCCAGCUUCCCGCUGAGGGUGCUCACCUGCUGGCCUCUGGCUCCCCCGUGUGGCCCGGCUUGAUGGACAUCUGA